rnacentral:rRNA from 1 species
CUACGGGCGGCUCCAGCUGCGAAUUUUUUGCAAUGCACGCAAGUGCGACAAAGCGAGCCAAAGUGCUAUCUAAUUUUAUUAGUUAGCUUUUAUUCAGUGUAAAAAACUGGAUGAGUAAGGACUGGGCAAGACCGGUGCCAGCCGCCGCGGUUAUCCCGGCAGUUCAAGUUGCAUCCACUUUUAUUGGGUCUAAAACAUCCGUAGCUUGUUAGUUAAGUCUCUUGUGAAAUCUCGUGUCUCAAGCACGAGGCUUGCGGGAGAUACUGGCUAGCUUUGAGACCGGGAGACGUAAGGAGUACGGGAAAGGUAGUGGUAAAAUACGUUAAUCUUUUCUGGACUAACAAUUUAGCGAAGGCACCUUACGAGAACGGAUCUGACAGUGAGGGAUGAAGGCUAGGGGCGCAAAACGGAUUAGAUACCCCCGUAGUC